rnacentral:lncRNA from 1 species
AUGAAAUGGGGAAAAAACACCUACCAGCAAGUCAUUUCUGAGAAGCAAGAUGCUGUAUGCAAAUUCCCUGAACAGAACUUGGCAGACUGUGCUUGCUUAGGAGCUCCUGGUUCCUGGUACCGCGGACAACAGGUAUCAAAGUUCCUACAACAAAACUGUCCUGCUAACACUGCUAACACUGCUUGGAUUUUCUUUUCUCCUAACCACCUUUCUCUUUUCUCUCUUUCGCCAUCAGUUCUAGUGGUUUCAAUCAAAAAUAACAACUGCCCAUUAUUUGAACAUGUGCUCUGCUUUCAUGCUUUACACACAUCAUCUCUACUCUUGACAGUAAUAAUUCAAGGAGAAUUAUGAAAGACAUACAAUUGUUUUGAAUUUCAAACCAAUUUACCUGUGUAACUAAAGAAGUGGUAAGAUGCUCAGUAGGAAAAAGUGGAAACUGACCCAGUGAAUGCCAGAACAGAGAGUGGAUCCAAUUACAGCUCUCCCUGGGACACAGGUAAGAUGAUGUUCUUGGACUUCACACAGGCUGAUCCAAAGUGGAGAUCUUAGAUGAAAUUAAUUUAGAUUAAAUCUGAAAGGAACUCUUUAGGCAUUGCAGAGCUAGUAAUGAAAUUUGUGUAACUUUUCUUUUAUUAUUACAAAAAUCAAGCCCAGACAUUCACUAUUGUCAUCCCCCUUCCCCUCCACCACCCUUCUUUAUUUAUUUUAUAAUUUAGAUGAUCUUAUUCUGAUUAGCUGUACCAUCUUCAUUGGGACAAAAAUGAAACCUUUGUUCCUGUGGAAAUACAAAAACUGCAAAGACAUGUCUGAGGAAGGCAGCCUCUCUAUAGCAGAGAAAAAUUAUUUGUCUUUACUGCUGAUAGCAACAAUAGGGGGUUAUUUCAGUAAGUGGAAUGGGAUGCUAUAGCUAAAAAGAAUGUGAUAGGUCUGUGUGUAUUAACAUGGGAAAAUGUUGACACUAUAGUCAUACAUUAAAAUGUUAACUUGCAGAAUAACAUUUAGAAUGCAGGAUUUUUUAAAAAAAAGAAAAGUAAAGAACAUGAAGGAAGAACACCAACCCUUUAAUGAGAAAUGGAAAAAAUGGAAAUAAAGUCUUUGUAAAUAGGGAAGGGUGGAGGGGGUGAAGGGGGGGCAGGGGAAUGGGGAAAAAAUAAGAACCAAGAUGCAUUAUAUAAAGGUACAAUUCCCAAUGAGAAAUGUAAUUGUGUUGUAUACCUACAAUGUACCAAUAAAAGAAUUUAAUAAAGUGCAAAAAAACCUCAAAAACCUAAGCCUCAACUGAAGUAAAAAAAAAAAACAAAAAAAACCCACCAACCCUUUAUUAGUUGUCAUUAGGGUUAUUUGGAGUAGAGCAACAGAGGACUCUGACUUUUAGCUUUACACAUUUUGACAAGUUGUAAGGUUUAGGGCCUUUUAAAAGUUCUUUUACAAUGAGCCAGUUUUAUUUCUGUAUUCUUAAAAAAUUUUAAGUUGAAAUUAAUGUUGAAUUGAUGAGUAUUCAAAAGGACACACUAAACUACUAAGUAACAUUGUAAAUAUCCCUUUUUACAUUCUAUGCACUUUGUUGUGUGCUUGUUUGCAGAGCCCAGGACUGUUUUUCAAAUGAUCAAGUUUUUGAGAAGUUUGACCCUUCCUCUAACAGCCUGGUGGCCUCUUAUCUUAACCUGGAAAAAUCCCUCCAGGGUAUCACAGUUAAAAGCAACUUUCUCCUGGGCCGGGGAUUUAGCUUAGCGGCGCUGCACCUGGCUGGCAAGCAAAGGGCCCUGAGUUUGAUUCCCGGUACCAAAAAGAAAAAAACAAAAACUGUCAACAAAACCAAGUUUGUCCCAUUUGUGAGGUGUCAAUAUCAUGUCUGUGGUCAGCAAGUGGAAUUGAAGCAAAACUAAAUUUAAAAAAAAUUCCUCCCACAUAUUUAGAUUAAGUAUUUGCAUUAUCUCCGUCCUUUAACAUUUGUUCUAUAGCUGCCUCUUGCCAAGAGCUUGGUGGGUGAGUCCAGGCCUUUGUGCUCAGGGCAGCAAGAAUGAUGAGUGUCACACGGUGAGACUUGCAGAGCCCCAGACGCUUUCCCAGCACCCGGUGUGUGUCUGCAUGGGACACUGGGCGUACAAAAGUGAGGAGCAGGCUACCCGACCCUUACAGGCUUGCAGUCUGAGCAACAUAGAGUGAGAGAGAUAUAAUGCAGCCACAUGUAUAUGUAAUUUAAUUUUUUUCUAGCAGCCACAUAAAAACGAAACAGGGAACUUCCAUUUCAAAUGGAAAGGAGAAUAAGAAAUGGAGGGAGGGUGAAGGGAGGGCAGGGAAAGGGGAUGAAAAGAGAGAGAGAGAGAAUUGAAGAAAAAAGUGGAAAUAGAGCUUUUGUAAAUGCAAAGGGACCAAGAGUUGGAAGGAGCAGGGAGGGAUGGAAGGGGCAGGGACAAGAAAGGAAUGAAGAUAUAUUGUGUACAUGUACCAACUCCCCAUGAUAAAUGUACUUUUCUUUUUUUUUUUUUUGGUACCGGGGAUCAAAUUCGGGUCCUUGCGCUUGCGAGGCAGGCGGUGGAACCACUGAGCUAAAUCCCCAGCACCCCCAUGAUAAAUGUAAUCAUUAUGUACUGCAAGCAUGUACUAAUAAAACAGAAAAAACAUACCUAACUCAGAAUAUCUGUAAUGUUAUUAUUUCAAUAUGUAAUCAAAUAAAAUUAUCAUUGAAAUAUUUUACGG